rnacentral:rRNA from 1 species
CAGCAGGUCUCCAAGGUGAAUAGCCUUUGGUCUAUAGAAUAAUGUAGAUAAGGGAAGUCGGCAAAGCUGAUCCGUAACUUUGGGAUAAGGAUUGGCUCUGAAGACUGAGCUGGUCGGGCUUUGGUCUAAUGCAAGUUAUGCAUUGUCCUCAAGACUGGAUCUAGUGUUGUUAAAUUUUUGGAAUAAAGAUGCUAAUCUAGGCUGUAAAUGUUUAAGAGAAGAGAGAAUUGUGUAAAAAGUGUAAAAGCUUUUUAUAUAUUCUUUGUAUUUUUUUUUACAUUUUGGUCUAGAUUGUCUUUAUUUUCGGUUUUUCAAUUAUCUAAUUCUGGACUUGUAUCUUUGCUAACUUGUAGAUAGCCUAAGCUAGACUCUUACAUUGUUUAAAAGUGUAAUUAUGAGUAGGGUAAAACUUAUUUGUAAUCUAUACUUUUAUCAAUAUAAGAUGUUCUUUCGGCCAGCAAAAAACAGUUGAAACAGAACUGGCACGGACUUGGGGAAUCCGACUGUCUAAUUAAAACAAAGCAUUGCGAUGGCCGAUAAUUGGUGUUGACGCAAUGUGAUUUCUG